UGCGGAUGGGGCAGCUGAUAAAUGCACCGCACUCGAAAUGCGGCAUACGGGCAACCGUAUCGGGAGUUCGAAUCUCCCUUCCGCCA
rnacentral:tRNA from 2 species